AUGUCAUGAUUUGGACAUUGCCUCUCUAAUUCCUUCUAUCUCAUUUAUGACUCAUAAAGAGUCUCAUCCUCUCUAGGUCAAAAAGCAGUCAUCUGAUUCCUUAACUC